GAAUAAGCUUGGUUAGGUUGUUGCUGGCUCUUCGGGGCAUGUGCACGCCUAACACCAAUCUUCUUACCACCUGUGCACCUUUUGUAGACCUGGAUAACUCUCGAGGAAACUCGGUAUGAGGACUGCUGUGCGUCAAAGCCAGCUUUCCUUACACUUCCGGUCUAUGUCUUUAUAUACACCAUUUGUAUGACUAUGAAUGUUAUAUCGGACUUGACUGUCCAAAUAAACCUAAUACAACUUUCAACAACGGAUCUCUUGGCUCU
rnacentral:misc_RNA from 1 species